CCUACGGGAGGCAGCAGUGGGGAAUCUUCCGCAAUGGGCGAAAGCCUGACGGAGCAACGCCGCGUGAGUGAAGAAGGCCUUCGGGUCGUAAAACUCUGUCUUAAGGGAAGAAGGAAGUGACGGUACCUUAGGAGGAAGCCCCGGCUAACUACGUGCCAGCAGCCGCGGUAAUACGUAGGGGGCGAGCGUUGUCCGGAAUUACUGGGCGUAAAGGGCGCGUAGGCGGGCUAUUAAGUCAGGUGUGAAAACCGACGGCUCAACCGGAGGCCUGCACCUGAAACUGAUAGUCUUGAGGACAGGAGAGGAAAGUGGAAUUCCUAGUGUAGCGGUGAAAUGCGUAGAUAUUAGGAGGAACACCAGUGGCGAAGGCGACUUUCUGGACUGUAACUGACGCUGAGGCGCGAAAGCGUGGGGAGCAAACAGGAUUAGAUACCCUUGUAGU
rnacentral:rRNA from 1 species